ACAAAAUCAUCCGCCAGGGUACUACGAGCCCAGCUUAAAACCCAAAGGACUUGGCGGUGUCUCAGACCCACCUAGAGGAGCCUGUUCUAGAACCGAUAACCCCCGUUCAACCUCACCACUUCUUGUUUAUCCCGCCUAUAUACCGCCGUCGUCAGCUUACCCUGUGAAGGUUUAUCAGUAAGCAAAAUGGGUUCAUCCCAAAACGUCAGGUCGAGGUGUAGCGUACGAAGUGGGAAGAAAUGGGCUACAUUUUCUUAAAACAGAAAAUACGAAUAGCUCCCUGAAAUUAGGGGCUUGAAGGUGGAUUUAGUAGUAAAAAGAAAAUAGAGUGUUCUUUUGAAUUAGGCUCUGAGACGCGCACACACCGCCCGUCACUCUCCCCCACAUACUAAUAAAACAAUAUAUAAUAAAUUAUACUCAACACGGGGAGGCAAGUCGUAACAUGGUAAGUGUACCGGAAGGUGCACUUGGAAUAAU
rnacentral:rRNA from 1 species